rnacentral:lncRNA from 1 species
AUUUUUUCUUAUAUAAAUAAUGAUGCAAUAGUUUUGAAAAUAGUAUUUUUGAAAUAAUGCAUGCAAGUGAGUAAUGGAACGUGGAAGAAAAGAGUACGAAGGAAUAUGCAAAUAGUACUUCUACUAUGCAUAUAGUAUUUUGUGAAAUAGUAAUUUCAUAAAUAGUUAUGAAUAGUAAUGAAUAGUAACUAUAUGAAUGCAGGAUGCAUGUAAUGAUGAAGAAGAUGAAAUUUACGUAAAGUAAACAAUAAAAUAACAUAAAGAAAACACAAACAAACAAAAGAAUGAAGUAACUAAUACUUCAUUAAAACAAGCUUAUGGAUAUGUAUAGAUGAAAACACACGAACAUAAAGAACUUACAGGAUGAAGAAACUAAAGGACGAACAGUAUUUACAUAGGUGGGAGAUAGCUUCCAGAAGCUUGCUUCUCUCUGACACAAACUCUUGAACAAACUUCACACUUAUGUACAGGACUCUUGAACAUACAGAACAAGAACAAGAAGGAAGAAGAGGGCUGUACAGGACUCAUGGGAAGAAUAUAUACAAGGGUACAAGAC